ACCUCCUCAAAUCCAAAGCUGUCUGGAAAGAAAUCAUGAACAGCAUGAUAGAACAACAACAACUCAGAAAGUCUCAUCUUGCCAGGUUCCAUCUUGCACAACAGUGUGCUACUAAUCAGCCUAACCAAAUAUCUCAGAACAUGGUGACGAAUCUCUGAGUGUACUGCGUCCUUGGAAUCGUAAAUUCCAUUGCCAAACCUGCUCCAGAAAAUCUGAGCAUCCUUAAACUGUCCAAGUAGAGCAACUCUAGUGAGAUCAUUGUCUAAACCAUAUAGGUCACAUAACUCUCUCAAUGGUAGACUGUAUCUGACACCGCGAAUGAAGAAGAUAAGAGCUCCUUCCUAAGCAUUGUGUUUCCUCUCAUUCACAUAGUAGACCCUAACAGAAGCCAUGAAUUGUCUAACUAGCUCAGGAUACAGAUCGUACUACCUACAAUAGAUGGCUCCCAAACCAAUAUCAUCUAGCAAACCU
rnacentral:sRNA from 1 species